rfam:Brachypodium distachyon strain Bd21 chromosome 4, whole genome shotgun sequence.
AUACUACUCCCUCCGUCCCAUGUUAAGUGUCUCAAAUUUGUCUAAAAUGCAUGUAUCUACACACUAAGACGCGUCUAGAUACAUGUAAUAUUUUGACACUUAAUAUGGGACGGAGGAAGUAUGAU